UACAGGGGGGGGCAAGCGUUGUUCGGAAUUACUGGGCGUAAAGGGUCUGUAGGUGGCCAACUAAGUCAAACGUGAAAUCCCUCAGCUUAACUGGGGAACUGCGUCUGAUACUGGAUGGCUCGAGUGUGGGAGAGGAAUGCGGAAUUCCAGGUGUAGCGGUGAAAUGCGUAGAGAUGUGGAGGAACACCAAUGGCGAAGGCAGCCGUUCUGGGCCAACACUGACGCUCAUGCACGAAAGCGUGGGGAGCAAACAGG
rnacentral:rRNA from 1 species